GCAGUGCGUGGCCGAAUGGUUACGCUGUCCGCUUUGUAAGCGGAUGAUCCUGGGUUCGAUUCCCAUCUGCUCCA
rnacentral:tRNA from 1 species